CAGGAGCAAAUUCGCAGAAUUAAUGAAAACAACCGCAUCCAACUGGGAAAGUUUCUAAGCACAAUGGAUCAGGAACAGGCCCAAUUAUAUCUUGAGUUUUUCAAACAACUCUACCAGUUUUAUGCCUAUCCCUAUGCUGAUUGGUACAAUCUCCCACAAAGCAUUCAGGAUGUUACUUUCUCACCAUUCUACCCCUUCUCCAAUUUCGCUGCCUCUGAGAACAAUGAAAAAGCUUUCAGUAUUCCACAGUGGUGGUAUUAAGUCAAUUCUCAGAAACUCCACAAUUAUGGCUCUUG